rnacentral:rRNA from 1 species
UACGUAGGGUCCGAGCGUUGUCCGGAAUUACUGGGCGUAAAGAGCUCGUAGGUGGUUUGUCGCGUUGUUCGUGAAAACUCACAGCUCAACUGUGGGCGUGCGGGCGAUACGGGCAGACUAGAGUACUGCAGGGGAGACUGGAAUUCCUGGUGUAGCGGUGGAAUGCGCAGAUAUCAGGAGGAACACCGGUGGCGAAGGCGGUUCUCUGGGCCUUACCUGACGCUGAGGAGCGAAAGCGUGGGGAGCGAACAGG